AUGGCGAAAACAAUGGGGGGAGUUCUCAGCUAUGAAUACAUGCAUGGCGGGAACCUCGAUAAACAUAUUGCAGAUGAAUCUUGCCGACUUGAUUGGCCCACUUGUUACGAGAUCAUUAAAGGAACAUGUGAGGGCUUAAAUCACCUUCACACCUCGUGGGAUAAGCCUAUUUUCCAUCUGGAUUUGAAACCUUCUAACAUAUUGCUGGAUAAUAGCCUGAAGCCCAAAAUUUCAGAUCUUGGUUUGUCCAGACUUGUUUCUUCGACAGAAACACAUGAAACAGAGAUACUCAAAGGCGCACAAGGGUAUAUGCCACCAGAAUACGUAAGUAAUGGCAUAAUAUCAACUAAGUUUGACGUCUUCAGUUUGGGCAUCAUAAUCAUAAAAAUUAUGGCUGGAAACAUUGGCUACUUCCAUCGUUCUGAAAUGUCACCCAAAGAUUUUAUUGAGUUUGUAAGUGAAAACUGGAUGAAGAGGUUGCACACAAUUUCGGACUACUAUUCAUCACACAGAAUCGACAUCCUACAAGUGAUCACAUGUGUUGAGAUUGCACUAAGAUGUGUCGAGAUUGAUCGGAAAAAAAGGCCCUGCUUACGAGACAUUGUUGAUGAACUUAAUGAACUGGAAGCUGAGAUUAAGAGAACAAUGUCACUACCUAUUGCCCGUUGGCAGACCCUCUUGACAAACCAAGGCCCUGGUCCAGAUUUUCCAAAAAUUACCAGAUUAUGUAAGGAUCAUAACUUGGCACAAUACAAAACGAACCUGGAUUUUAAACUCUGCUUGAUUAAAGAUAUUACAGACAGUUUUUCAGAUGACCAGAAAAUUGGGAGUGAUGUGUAUGGAGAUGUUUACAGGGCAGUGUAUAAUGGAGAAGAGAUUGUUGUGAAGAAGCUUCAUUCUUUAGAAGGACUUGACGAUAAAGAAUUUGAGAAUGAAAUGCAUAUCCUUACCAAGGUCCAUCACAAAAAUGUUGGUCGGUUAAUUGGCUACUGCUACGAAACUUGUCUUAUAAAUGUUGAGCACAAUGAGGAACGUGUUUCCUCAAUGACAACGGAGCGAGUUCUUUGCUUUGAAUAUAUGCAAAGUGGAAGCCUUGAUAAACAUAUUGCAGAUGAACCUUGUGGACUUGAUUGGUCCGCACUAUACAAAAUUAUUAAAGGGACUUGUGAGGGCUUAAAUCACCUUCUCAGUGCACAGCAAAAACCUAUUCUCCAUCUAGACUUAACACCUAAUAAUAUAUUUCUGGUUAAGGGCAAGACACCUAAAAUUAUAGGUUUUGGUUUGUGGAGACUUAUUGAGGCUUAUGAUAAAAUGCAACAAACAAAGAUCUUCAAAGAAAAAAACGGGUACAUGCCACCAGAAUAUGUCGAUGCUGGCUUUAUAUCAAACAAGUUUGACGUGUUCAGUUUGGGUGUCAUAAUUAUAAAGCUGAUGGCCGGAAAUAUGGGCUAUUCUCGUUGUUUUGAAAUGUCUCCCAAAGAGUUUAUUCAACAUGUUAGUGAGAAUUGGAUGAAAAGGUUGCAUGCAACGCCGGGAUAUUCACCAUAUGAAAUAGAAAUCCUACGAGUGAGUACAUGUAUUGAGAUUGCAUUAAGAUGUGUGGACAACGACCGAGAGAAAAGGCCAUGUAUAGAAGACAUUGUCCAUAAACUGGGGGAACUAGAAGCUAGGAUUAAGACAAUAAUGUUGCUACCUCAUGAUCAGAGACGGAGCCUGUUGAAUAACCUAGGCUAUGUCCCGUACUUUCCAAAACAUAGUAGGCUAUAUAUGUCCCAUAACUUGGCCAAAGAUGGAGCAGUAACCGUCUAUAAAUCUAAUCGGUCCAGGCCCGAUUCUCAGUCAGGCCCCACCAGUACCGCUCAUGCUGAGUCAGAAGACCCAAGUCUCGAGACGGGAUCCAUUCCACACCAUAUGUCGCUACAACAUUUGAGAGAGAUCACAAACAACUUCUCUGAUGAGAGAAUACUUGGUAGAGGUGGUUUUUACGUGGUAUAUAAGGGUGUGGAGCAAAGUGGGGAAAUGAUUGCAGUGAAGAAGCUUCUGCAGCCAACACUGAGCUCAGAGGCGCAAUUCGAGAAGGAAGUUAAACUCCUUAUGAAACUAAAGCACCAAAAUAUAGUGCGACUAAUAGGCUACUGCUAUGAAACGCAGAAUCUAUAUAUGUUUCAUGAAAAAGAAUGCAUUUUUGCUGAGUACACUCACACUUUGCUUUGUUUAGAACUUCUACCGAAAGGAAGUCUUGAUAACUAUAUUUCAGAUGCACCUUCUAGACUUGAUUGGCACACCCGUUACAAAAUAAUUGAGGGGAUUUCCAAUGGUCUACAAUACCUCCAUGAGCAAUCUAACGAUCCGAUUCUUCAUUUGGACCUAAAACCGGCUAACAUAUUGCUUGAUGAAAAUAUGUUGCCAAAAAUUACAGACUUUGGUCUGUCAAGACUGUUUGAUCAAAGCCAAACAAUUCAUACUAAAAUUACUUGUGGAACAUUCGGUUACAUGCCACCAGAAUUCGUAUAUGGUAUAAUCACACCUAUGUCAGACAUAUUCAAUUUGGGUGUAAUAAUUUUGGAGGUAAUAACGGGGCACAAGGAGUACCCAGAUGGCAUUAGAACAUUUUCAAAGAACUUCAUCGAGCUAGAGCUUCAAAAAUGGAGAAAUUGGCUGCAAAAAGAACCAACAUAUAGAUCAGUAGAAACAGAUUGCCAACAAAUAAAGAGAUGCAUUCAGAUAGGCCUAAUUUGCGUGAAUCCUGAGCGGACCAAAAGGCCUACGAUGAAGAAAAUUAUCGAUAUGCUUCAUGGCCUGGAAAGUAUGGAAUUGUGUAUUAGCAACGAGUUAUCAAGCGAUGACAGCCGGGCAGAGCUGUAG
rnacentral:rRNA from 1 species